UUGUAUUCCUAUAAAUUCAGGUCCACAAGAUGUAGCACCUUCACUUGAACAAAACAAAGACUGAGCAGAAAAUGGAGCAGAAAGUAAUUCGAAUUACUCCAGACGUCGGAGGGGAGAUAGUUGAAAAAAUCGAGGUGUACCCUAAUAACAGAGUGGGUGAAGCCUACCUGAUCGUAUCACUAAAGAACGGAUGCACGAUAUCCGCGAAAGUGCCCAUUAGGGAAGUUUCGCGGAUUCAAAAUAGCAACCAAAGAAAUAUGUUGCAGAACUAUGAAGACAACAAGUUCGUUGAGAAUCGGAUUAGAAGAGGAGGAGUUGAUAGAGGAAGAGGCGGAGGAAGAGGUGGAAUACAUAAAAAUUUAUAGAAGACGACAAAACUAAAUACAAUUUAAAUUAUUGCUAGC
rnacentral:lncRNA from 1 species